rnacentral:rRNA from 1 species
UACGUAGGGCGCAAGCGUUAUCCGGAAUUAUUGGGCGUAAAGAGCUCGUAGGCGGUCUGUCGCGUCUGCUGUGAAAACUCGGGGCUUAACCCCGGGCCUGCAGUGGGUACGGGCAGACUAGAGUGCGGUAGGGGAGACUGGAAUUCCUGGUGUAGCGGUGAAAUGCGCAGAUAUCAGGAGGAACACCGGUGGCGAAGGCGGGUCUCUGGGCCGAUACUGACGCUGAGGAGCGAAAGCGUGGGGAGCGAACAGG